rnacentral:piRNA from 1 species
UGAGAGGCAAUUGCCGUCCUAGUGUGA